rnacentral:rRNA from 1 species
UAACGUAGGGGCAAGCGUUGGUCCGGAAUCAUUGGGCGUAAAGCGCGUGUAGGCGGCCCGAUAAGUCCGCUGUGAAAGUCCAGGGCUCAACCCUGGGAUGCCGGUGGAUACUGUCGGGCUCGAGUCCGGAAGAGGCGAGUGGAACUCCUGGUGUAGCGGUGGAAUGCGCAGAUAUCAGGAAGAACACCAACGGCGAAGGCAGCUCGCUGGGACGGAACUGACGCUGAGGCGCGAAAGCGUGGGGAGCGAACAGG